UGUGUGUACAAGGGGUGAAUGCUGCGGCUUAAUUGGAGUCAACGCCGGGAACCUUACCAGGGGCGACAGCUGGAUGAAGGUCAGAUUAAAGGUCUUACCGGACUAGCUGAGAGGAGGUGCAUGGCCGUCUUCUCAGCUUGGGGAUAACCCUAACUGAGACGGUAAGCCAGCUCGUGCCGUGAGGUGUCCUGUUAAGUCAGGUAACGAGCGAGACCCCCGUCUUCUGUUGCUACUCCUGCCCGUCUGGGUAGGAAGCACUCAGAAGAGACUGCCACCGAUAAGGUGGAGGAAGGAGGGGGCAACGGCAGGUCAGUAUGCCCCGAAACCCCUGGGCCGCACGCGGCAGAUAAUGGUAGGGACAGAGGGCUCCGACCCCGAAAGGGGAAGGCAAUCCCUAAACCCUACCUUGGUUGGGAUCGAGGGCUGCAACUCGCCCUCGUGAACGUGGAAUCCCUAGUAACCGCGUGUCAUCAUCGCGCGGUGAAUACGUCCCUGCUCCUUGUACACACCGCACAAGGGCGAAUUCGC
rnacentral:rRNA from 1 species